UACGAAGGGGGCUAGCGUUGCUCGGAAUCACUGGGCGUAAAGCGCACGUAGGCGGCUUUUUAAGUCAGAGGUGAAAUCCUGGAGCUCAACUCCAGAACUGCCUUUGAUACUGAGAAGCUUGAGUCCGGAAGAGGCAAGUGGAAUUCCCGGUGUAGCGGUGAAAUGCGCAGAUAUCGGGAGGAACACCAAUGGCGAAGGCAGCUUGCUGGGACGGUACUGACGCUGAGGCGCGAAAGCGUGGGGAGCAAACAGG
rnacentral:rRNA from 1 species